CAGGAGCCUAAAGAGAUGUCUUUCUAUGGUCUGUUGGCCAUUUCAGAACAUGGGCAGUGAAAUGGUCAGUUCAUUAGAAAGAAACAGCU
rnacentral:snoRNA from 1 species